GACAUCCUUGGCAAUGAGGUCACCGUUGAUGAGCUCUCUGUAGGCAGCAACGGGCCAGCUGAACCCCCGGAAGAGCAAACGAGAGGCCAGAGGAACGUCGAUGAUGAUCUCCUUCAUGGUAGGCUUUUUCUCAUCCCUGAUGGCAAUAAGGUAACUCCGACCCACCCACCCGAUCCACCCGGCGAUGUACAGAAAGAGGACCCCAGGAGUGAUGAACUCGCCCCAGUGCCUCUGGUCUCCGCUCACGAUCAGGUGCGGCAGCCCGUCGGCGCCGCACAGAAGCCCCUGCUUCGCGUAGUUGUCGAACCGCCGCUUCGUCUUCUCCACCGACGCCUUUAUCGCCAGGGCGGGGGCG
rnacentral:lncRNA from 1 species